rnacentral:rRNA from 1 species
CCUACGGGGGGCAGCAGUGAGGAAUAUUGGUCAAUGGACGCAAGUCUGAUCCAGCCAUGCCGCGUGCAGGAAGACGGCUCUAUGAGUUGUACACUGCUUUUGUACGAGGGUAAACGCAGAUGCGCGUAUCUGUCUGAAAGUAUGGUACGAAUAAGGAUCGGCUAACUCCGUGCCAGCAGCCGCGGUAAUACGGAGGAUUAAAGCGUUAUCCGGAUUGAUUGUGUUGAAAGGGUACGCAGGGGGUCGAGUAAGUUAGAGGUGAUAUCCCCGGGCUGAACUUGGGAAUUGCCUCUGAUACUGUUCGGCUAGAGAGUAGUAGCGGUGGGCAGAAUUCAAGGGGUAGCGGUGAAAUGCGUAGAGA